UACGUAGGGGGCUAGCGUUGUCCGGAAUCAUUGGGCGUAAAGCGCGUGUAGGCGGCCCGGUAAGUCCGCUGUGAAAGUCGGGGGCUCAACCCUCGAAUGCCGGUGGAUACUGUCGGGCUAGAGUACGGAAGAGGCGAGUGGAAUUCCUGGUGUAGCGGUGAAAUGCGCAGAUAUCAGGAGGAACACCCAUUGCGAAGGCAGCUCGCUGGGACGUUACUGACGCUGAGACGCGAAAGCGUGGGGGAGCAAACAGG
rnacentral:rRNA from 1 species